AUCCCCUGGAAAUGGACAAAAAGACAUCUUGUCGGUGUUGUUUUUAUAUCACUCAGGGGCCGAGCAAAUGGCAGUUCUUUGUUCAUCCUAGCUUGAUGCUUGGCUUGGUGGCCAAAGCUGUUUUAUGCGUAGGACACAUAA